rnacentral:rRNA from 1 species
CCUACGGGUGACAGCAGUGGGGAAUAUUGGACAAUGGGGGGAACCCUGAUCCAGCGACGCCGCGUGAGUGAAGAAGUAUUUCGGUAUGUAAAGCUCUAUCAGCAGGGAAGAAAGAAAUGACGGUACCUGACGAAGAAGCCCCGGCUAACUACGUGCCAGCAGCCGCGUGAAUACGUAGGGGGCAAGCGUUAUACGGAUUUACUGGGUGUAAAGGGAGCGUAGACGGCGAUGCAAGUCUGAAGUGAAAGGCGGGGGCCCAACCUCCGGACUGCGUUGGAAACUGUAUGGCUGGAGUGCAGGAGAGGUAAGUGGAAUUCCUAGUGUAGCGGUGCAAUCCGUAGAUAUUAGGAGGAACACCAGUGGCGAAGGCGGCUUACUGGACUGUAACUGACGUUGAGGCUCGAAAGCGUGGGGAGCAAACAGGAUUAGAUACCCGAGUAGUC